rnacentral:lncRNA from 1 species
ACAUUAACAAUCAAUAAGAGUUUAAGAACAAUUGAGACAUGUCAUAUUACUCUCUCCUGUCCUGCUUCCGCAGUAUGUGUGUGCGCAUAUAUUUAUAAGCACGUAUUAUAUAUAUAAUCUCAUUUAAUACACAACUCCCUCAUCAAGUAGGCGGGAUUAUUCUCAUCUCACAUACGGGGAAGGUGAGGCACAGAGAUGUUGACCAUGUCGCCUGCUGUUUCACACAGCUGAUAAACGGAGGAGCGGGGAGGUGAACCCAGGGCUCUCGGACUCCUAAGUGCUGUAGUAACGUAAAACGUUGCUCGGUUUCUGCGAAGCGGCGCCAAGCGGCUCCUCACACAAGGCCAUGCUCAGCGCUCAGGGCGCUGGAAACUCACCAGUCAUGACUGACUCCCAGGCAAGUGGGUGGCCAGAUUUCACCUCAGUCUGCUUCUUUAAGGGGCAGAACCAGGAGGGGUGGCUUGAUAAGGGUACGCUCAGCAAAGCAGAGGAAGUGGUGGCGCUCAGACCCCCUGCCGCCCUCUCACCUCAGAGAUCUUCCACCAGAUAGAUACCGCCCCCUCCGAAACGUGUCGCUGUGGUUGGAGCAGUGUCCGUGUGGGGACAGCCGGCCCCGCGCCCCCACGCCGCCCGCGCCCCUGCUCCGCUGCGGGCCGCCUGCCUCCUCCUGCCCCCGCGCUGAUGGGGGGCCCCGCGCGCAGCCCCCUCGGCAACCCCAGAGCGCAGCGCGCCGGCCCUCCGCUGCGCCCUUGCAACCCCGAGUUCCCUCCAGCUCGGAAGCCCUGCCUCCGACCUGCUCCCACUGACCCCUGGAGGACUCCAGCCCAGAUGCUCUGAGGAUGACGGAGAUGAGCAAGAGCCCAGCCCCGACCUGCAGCCUGUGGGCUCGCCACGCCUUCCUCGUCCUUGAGUUAAUCAUCCCACAGCCCAACAGCCGGGAGAGAGCCUUCAGCAGCAAGGUGUGCUGGCCGCAAAGGCAGCUCCAAGAUAGCACAGAGGAGAAAACAGAGGCCUGGAGAGAUUAAAUAACCUGCCCAAGAUUAUUUUUUUAAAAAGAAACGGCAAAGAUUCUGAGAUUCAAAUCGCCGUCUGGUAGAUUUCAAAGUUUCAUCUCAUCCUCCGUUGCCUACAUCACACCAGCUCCUUGAAGGAAGCAGCAGGUGAGAGUCCUGGGUCCUGAACGGUGGGCCAAAAGGGCUGGUGGUCUGCACAGGAGGGAGUCGGGGGCCUGCGACCGCUGCAGCAGCAUCCAAAAUCGUCCAUCAUGCUAGGAAUCUGCCCAGCGGUCCGCAAGCAUGGGCUCAUCAAACCUCACCGCAACCUACGCAUCAGGCCCGGCCACCCCACGUUACACCUAAGAUUUAAACUGAGAGGAGAAGUGAUUUGUUCAAAGUCACUCAGCUGGAAGAUUAGCCCUGAACUAACAUCUGCUGCCAAUCCUUCUCUCUUUGCUGAGGAAGACCGGCCCUGACCCCACAUCCAUGUCCAUCCUCCUCCACUUUACAUGUGGGAUGCCUACCACAGCAUGGCUUGCCAAGCGGUAGCAUGUCCACACCUAGGAUCCGGGCCAGCGAAUCCCAGGCCGCUGAAGCGGAACGUGCGAACUUAACUGCUACGCCACUGGGCCGGCCCCUGAUGUGUGCUUUUGAUGGGCUGUUUCUUUUUCUUCCCCUAAAAGCAGUUGUUACAUUGAUGGUGGAUCUUACAAUCGAUGGUGUCUGAGAAUCUGGGGAAUACAGUAAUAACCGUCAAUGGCAAAGUCAGUUACAGGACCCAGGAUGCCAGCCUCCAUGUCCAGUGUCGUGACCCCAAAAUCACCAUGUUCCAGGGGUAGGCUUCUGUCAUGUGUGUGGCCUCUGGGGCCACCUGUCCCUACCCUUGGGCUGUGUUGGUGGGGCCUUGGCCCAGGCUUGGACAUUUUUCAAGUGUGCAAAGAUUCAUUUCAUUCUUUGACUGAAAGCAAAGGGCACCAUCCCCAGGGCCGGGAUCCGACCACCUGAGAGGAAGCACUAAGGCAACGUGAAAGCAAACAUGGAAGUAGGAACUAGGCUGCAGAUGGAGACAGUCCCAGCUGUACCAGGCAGAAAACAUACACACACACACCCCGACACACCAACUUUCUGUCCUGAGUCAUCACCUUUCCUGGUUCCACAUGCUUAGUCGACAUGCCACACUUUCUCUAGAAUCUCGGUUUCCCCCACCUGGUUUCUUGCCCAAGUAGCUUGUGGAGUUGAAGAAGGAGAAAUCAAUAAAAGAUUUGAAGGGCCUGUGAGAGCAGUCCUGGCUGUGGAGACCCCCGGGGUGGCUGGCGCCUCCCAGCCAGUCACUCUGGGCCCCUGAACAUUCCUUGCAGGAGAGCCUGAGCCCCAGACCCUUGUGAGAACUCUCCUGUGGGAGGCUGAGGCUGAGCUGCUGGCAUCUCAAGAGACUGCAGCCACAGCAGAAGCCACAGGAGAGACCCCUCACAGAAGCCAAUCUGUCAGCCACACCCCAACCUCUUUUGUCCUUGUUUUGUUCACAUUCUGUGUCCUGUGCCCCAGAGACCCUAUCACACAGCAGCAGGAGGGGCACACGCAGUCCAGGGCCUGGCCCACGCUGACAGGGCUGUGUCGGCAGCCCUGUCCUUACCCUUCUCCUCUUUGCAGGAGCCAGGAGGCUGGGGUGCAGAGGAGGGGGAGACACAGUCAUCUUGGGCAAAGAAGCCUGGCAGUGCAUUGCAGUGGGAAGGCCAGAGGCCAGCUCCACCCCCUGCCCCCCCUUCCCAGCUCCAGUGGCAUAAAGGUGACAGCCAUCAAGAUGUGCCACUCAGCGUUACUGCUGAGGAGAGCAGGCUUGGCGGGAGGCCCCAACUGCUGCCCCUCAGGAUCCUCCUCCGCAUUCACACUGAAGCCACGUUCCCCAGGCCUACUCCCAGCCAAUGCUGGGCAUGAGCAGUGGGGAGAACAAAUGCAGGCCACGCCUGUGAGACCUAGGACUCCUCCAACAGGCAGCUGGCUCCGGGACUCCCCAUCCAUCUGCCUCAACCUUUCUCAGAGCCAUGCUGCAGUUUAAGGCUCUUCCUGCCUUCCUUGCCCAAAAAGAGAUCUGGCCUCUUGACUCCUGGGAGAUAAUCUUUGUUUACCUGGGGAACUCAGGCUGGCCAGAUAGUAACAAUGUGACUUAGGGUGGAGGCUGGCCACACCAGAAAGACUCAUGAUUUAGGGGUCUUUGAUUUAGGUUGGGGCUUUGGAUCAUGCAGUAUCAGUCAACGUGGAGACUGAGAUCAACUACAUGGGCAAUCAAUCAAUCAUGGCGGCAUGAUGGAGGCCCAGUCAAACCUCUAAAUACCAGGGCUCAGGUGAGCUUCCCUGGUUUGCAGUACUCCAUGCAUAUUGUCUCACACUGAUGCCAGAAAAGCAACGUGUCCUGACUCCCCAGGGAGAGGUCAGUUUAAAAGCUCUGGUUUGUUACUUCCCUGGACUCCAUCCUAUGCACAUCUUCCCUUGGUUUUUAAAAAUCUGUAUCCUUUCCCUGUAAUAAACUGUAACCAUGAGUAGAACA